rnacentral:ncRNA from 1 species
CUCGCGAAAAGCUUCAAUCUGGUUCAGGUAACUACGUGGUUUCAAAGUAUUGCCAACAAAGCCGUAGUCAUAGUUCAUUUGGGAACCCCAGGCCUGCGAAUGCACAAAGGUUUAGUUGUAGGCUUUUCAAAGUAAGAUUAUCGAUCCCAUGGGAAGCAGAGUAAUUAGACUUUGUCCCUUAUACGACCCAAACUCCUACGGGAGGCGAGGCAGAAGUGGGGGAAUUUUCCGCAAUAUGCGAAAGCCCGACGAAGCAAUGCCGUUCGGAAGUGGAAGGCCUACGGGCCAUCAACUUCUUUCUCGGAUAAGAAACAAUGACAACAUCCAAGGAAUAAGCAUCGACUCACUCUAUGCCAGCAUUCGCGUAAGAGACACAGGAUGCAAGCAUUAUCCAGAAUAAUUGGGCGUAAAGCGUCUCUGGAUUUUUCAAGUCCGCCAUCAAAUACCAAGGCUCAACGUUGGAUAGGCGGUGAAAACUACCAAGCUGGGGUACGGUAGGGGCAAAGGGAAUUUCUGGUGGAGCGAUGAAAUGCAUUGAGAUCAGAAAGAACAUCAAUGGGGAAAGCACUAUGAUAGGUUGACACUGACCCUGAGAGACGAAAGAUGGGAAGACUUACAAAAUGUACCUGCAAAUUAAUUUUAAA